CCUAAGGUAGCGAAAUUCCUUGUCAGGUAAGUUCUGACCCGCACGAAUGGCGUAAUGAUUUGGGCACUGUCUCGACAGCCCGCCCGGCGAAAUUGUAGUACUGGUGAAGAUGCCAGUUACCCGCAACUAGACGGAAAGACCCCAUGGAGCUUUACUGCAGUUUAAUACUGGGAAUCGGUAAUUCAUGUACAGGAUAGGUGGGAGACUGAGAAGCAUGGCCGUCAGGUCGUGUGGAGUCACCGGUGGGAUACCACUCUUGGAUUGCUGGUUUCCUAACCUGCGGCCCUGAAUCGGGUCGGGGGACACUGUUAGACGGGCAGUUUGACUGGGGCGGUCGCCUCCAAAAGAGUAACGGAGGCGCUCAAAGGUUCGUUCAGCACGGACGGAAAUCGUGCAUUGAGUGUAAACGCAUAAACGAGCCUAACUGCGAGACCGACGGGUCGAGCAGUAACGAAAGUUGGAGUUAGUGAUCCGGUGGUAUGUGAGUGGAAAUGCCAUCGCUCAACGGAUAAAAGCUACCCUGGGGAUAACAGGCUGAUCUCCCCCAAGAGUCCACAUCGACGGGGAGGUUUGGCACCUCGAUGUCGGCUCAUCGCAUCCUGGGGCUGUAUUCGGUCCCAAGGGUUUGGCUGUUCGCCAAUUAAAGCGGCACGCGAGCUGGGUUCAGAACGUCGUGAGACAGUUCGGUCCCUAUCUGUUGCGGGCGUAAGAGAUUUGAAGGGAGCUGUCCUUAGUACGAGAGGACCGGGAUGGACGUACCUCUGGUGCACCAGUUGUCCUGCCAAGGGCAUAGCUGGGUAGCUAUGUACGGACGAGAUAAACGCUGAAAGCAUCUAAGCGUGAAACUCUCCCUAAGAUGAGAUCUCUCAUCCAUUAUGGAGUAAGGGCCCAGAAAGACGAUCUGGUUGAUAGGCCGGAGGUGGAAGCGCGGUAACGUGUGUAGCUGACCGGUACUAAUAGCCCGAGGGCUUGACCUA
rnacentral:rRNA from 1 species